rnacentral:rRNA from 1 species
GAUGAUGACGAAAGUCCAAAGAUUUAUCGCCAGAGGAUGAGCCCGCGUUGGAUUAGGUAGUUGGUGGGGUAAAGGCCUACCAAGCCGACGAUCCAUAGCUGGUCUGAGAGGAUGAUCAGCCACACUGGGACUGAGACACGUCCCAGACUCCUACGGGAGGCAGCAGUGGGGAAUAUUGGACAAUGGGCGCAAGCCUGAUCCAGCAAUGCCGCGUGAGUGAUGAAGGCCCUAGGGUUGUAAAGCUCUUUUACCCGGGAAGAUAAUGACUGUACCGGGAGAAUAAGCCCCGGCUAACUCCGUGCCAGCAGCCGCGGUAAUACGGAGGGGGCUAGCGUUGUUCGGAAUUACUGGGCGUAAAGCGUGCGCAGGCGGUUGUGUAAGUCUGAUGUGAAAGCCCCGGGCUUAACCUGGGAACUGCAUUGGAGACUGCACGGCUAGAGUGCGUCAGAGGGGGGUAGAAUUCCGCGUGUAGCAGUGAAAUGCGUAGAGAUGCGGAGGAAUACCGAUGGCGAAGGCAGCCCCCUGGGAUGACACUGACGCUCAUGCACGAAAGCGUGGGGAGCAAACAGGAUUAGAUACCCUGGUAGUCCACGCCCUAAACGAUGUCAACUAGCUGUUGGGGGUUUGAAUCCUUGGUAGCGUAGCUAACGCG